GGUAUUAAAAAAAUUCAAUAAUAAAGAAGCAAUUAUCGAGGUAAAAAAAUACAAAUAAAUAGUAAAAAUGUGAACUAAAAGGAUUAAAUUAGAAUCAAACAAAAACAAAAGAGAUAACUUGAAAAUAAAGUAAUAAUAAUAAAAGGGACCGAUAAGCAAAAUGCGCAAAUGCGUAAGGGCUCAAACUGGAAAUAAUCCAGGCCCUAAACGCUGCAUUUCAAUGCGGACCCAUUUGCUAACGACGAUAAAUUACAAAGGUAAAUUUAAAAAACAAGGAAACACAAAUGUGAGCUGGAUAAAAUGUAGUGCAAAGGGGAGGGACUGAUACUGCAAAUAAACCCUCGCUGUGAAAACACGCGGGUCCUCGGGGCAGCAAAUCGGAUCGGGUCAGGGCUCCACCAGGUGGCUUCGUUUUUGAGCCAUUAAAAUGGGCUUGAAACGGCGUCGCAUUUGACCCUUUAAAAGGGCUAAAAACCGAAUUAUUCGGCCAAACCCUAGCCCCCAAUCCUUUCUUCUCCAUUGAACCCUAAUCCUCCCCCUUUAUUCGAAUCUCAAAAGGCCCUAGCCGCCAUUUGACCACCCCGAACGGCGAUCGACGAAGGGAGAUUCGUUCACUCACUAACCCGGCUUGGGUCCUAGCCCUAAAGACCUCCGAUUUCAGGCUUCAAUCCCUGUCUCAACUUCGAUUAAAGCGAAGGAGAUGAAUUCCGGCGGUUCGUUUGUAUAGGUAAACCCCUUUGCUUCCCUUCACCCUUUUUAUGCUCGAAAUAACAGUAUGUGGCAUCGAAAAAUAAGACAAGAAAAGGAAAACAGACAGGAAAGGAGAGCCAAUGCCGAAUAAUCGCCUUUCUUUGCUUUUUCUUUGUAUUCAAUAUGUGAAUCGUAUAUCUGUAUUGCCUAUUGCGCAUAAAAAAUUACAAUGAAUAAAGACUCUGGCUUUAUAGCCGAAACAGAAUCAGAAAGAUCCCAAAAUAAAAAUAAAAAACGAAUACAAAUUCUUCUUUUCCUAUUUGCUGUUGUGUGGUUUUGUAUUCUUUUGCAGGUACGGAGUGCGUGGCACGUGAUGGGGGUCGUGUGCUGGCGCGGGCGUGGCUGCUGGACGGUACGGAGCGUAUGGCGCUGGGGGGUACGGAGGUCAGGGCCGAGGCUUGGCUGCGGCGCGAGAGAGAGAACCCUAGGGUUUUGUCUGUUCUAAAAGCAAUGGGCCUAUCGGGCUUGUAUUUCGGGUUAAGGUUUUGAUAUUAGUUUGGGCCUUGAUUGGUUAUUGGGUCUGUAAACUGGACUUUUAAUGGACCGUUACUAUUUUAAACUUUUUGUUUAUUUAUUUAUUUGUAUAUAUUUUAUAUUUAUAUUUUGUUUUGGGUUUCUAGAGGGUCCGGGCUAAAAUUGGUCAUUACAGUUAUUAUUAUAUUAUUUUUAGCUAUUUUAGCUGCUAUUUAGAAGGGAUCAUGGUUUAUCUUCACUAUGUUAGCAAGUCUCAAAAUCUCUAUUUAAUUGAGAGACUUGUAUAAGUUUGUAUCGAAUAUUGAGAGCAUAUAACCUAUUGUGAUGAAGUGCAUUUGAUUGUAAAACAUUUAUGUUGUGUUUUUGCAAACUAUGUUCUCGGUGAAAGAAUUUAAGGAGGAGAAUUGUAGUCUUCAAAAAUACAAGAGUGAGGAAUUAUCACUGGGUGAGAUGAAUUUAUGUUCACUAAUUUUAACUGUUUGAAGAUAGUGCUUAUUAAUUACUAGUUUUUAAUUUGCUGCGGAGCAAACCUAGGAAAGUCAAAAAGCGUAAAAACCAUGGACUGUUGAAAGAUUUUUUAGGCAUGG
rnacentral:lncRNA from 1 species